rnacentral:rRNA from 1 species
GGAAUAGAUAUAUUUAAGAAAAUCCAAAAGCGAAAUUAACGUGACUGUUUAUUAUGGGAUUACAUUUAUUUAUUAUAUGUAUAAAAUAUAAAUGAAUUUCCAUCCCAGGGCGAUUUAUAAUUAAUUUUUAUUAUGAAAUCGUACCUUGAGCAUACAUGGUAGGACCCGAAAGAUGGUGAACUAUGCCUGAUCAGGUUGAAGUCAGGGGAAACCCUGAUGGAGGACCGAAGCAGUUCUGACGUGCAAAUCGAUUGUCAGAAUUGGGUAUAGGGGCGAAAGACCAAUCGAACCAUCUAGUAGCUGGUUCCUUCCGACGA